CAAAUUUCAAUGACGAGAACGAGUAAGCUAUACAGCGGAUUUGCAGAGAGUUGGGGCAGGUGAAAGCCAACAUUCCGAGGGUAGCUGAACGCCAUCUCUGAGAAGCGGGCUGAACCUGAAGUAAGCUCUGCCGCCUUUCCAGCGUUAACCGGAACACGUAUUGAUGGAUACGUGAACAGAGUGUCAUUUCCUAUGGAAUGAAACUAGGGUGGUAACACGGGUAUAAACUCGUCCCUUUU
rnacentral:ncRNA from 1 species